UACAGAGGUCUCAAGCGUUGUUCGGAUUCAUUGGGCGUAAAGGGUGCGUAGGCGGCGGGGCAAGUCUGAUGUGAAAUCCCGGGGCUCAACCCCGGAACUGCACUGGAUACUGCCCUGCUAGAGAUCUGGAGAGGAAACUGGAAUUUACGGUGUAGCAGUGAAAUGCGUAGAUAUCGUAAGGAAGACCAGUGGCGAAGGCGGGUCUCUGGACAGUUCCUGACGCUGAGGCACGAAGGUCAGGGGAGCAAACGGG
rnacentral:rRNA from 1 species